GCAAUUUCCUUCUUAUCUCAUAGCGAUUGCGACAGAUUCUGAGUCUCCAGGGCAGAGACGGUGUCUUUACAUGCCCUGGUGAGUCUUGCCUUCACAAUGGUGAAGAAGUAAGGAGGUGAAAAGGUACCAAGGAUGCUGAAAAGGGUGAAGCUAAAAAGAAGAGAAUCCCCAAGUCUCAGGUACUCUGACUAAUACACCAGGUCAUAAAAGGCAAUACAGCCUUCACCCUGCUCUCUUUGUCUCUGGACACUUGCCUUCUGGAAGAAGCCAUCGUGUUGUGAGGAAGCCCAGGCCACAUGUAGAAGCCACAUGUGGAUGUUCCCGCAGACGGCCCCCGCAAAGCUCCGGGCUGGCAGCCAGCGUCAAUCACCAGACAUGUGAGUGAAGCACCUUUGAAUGACUCCGACCCCCAGCCUUCCUCAACACCUGCCAUCUGAAGCCUUGGACAUCACGGGGCAGAGGUGAGCCAUCUCACUGUGUUCGUCUGGAUUCCCAACCAACAGAAAUCUUCAGAUAACAAAUAACGAAAUAAUUUUGCUUCACAACUUAGUUGAACAUUUCAGUCUAAAUGAUUCAAUACUUGAAAGACCAAGAUAGAUAGCGUUUCUAAAGAGGGUGAAGAGUAAAAUUAAGGAAGGCUUUGCUAUCAAAUUUGUGAAGAGCUGAGCUCGCCCUCCCUCUGUGACUUCCUGCACAGGUGCUUUAAGUGAUGACGCCAAGUAGGGCCUAAACCACACCCUCCAAUGUCCGGCUCAGAGAGAUGCCACUUCCCUUCCCAGGAGCUACACGCCAGGCCCCCAGGGGUCUGGCCUGCCCACCUUUGAGGAAGACUGAUGGCCAACUUUUGGGAAGAAGCCACUGUCCGGGAGUACCUGGCUGCUUUCCAGAACUUCUGAAAUGAGGACAUUUAGAUGGGCCACCUCCAGAUCCAGAGUCAUACCCUCUGGAGGCUGAGAGGAAAUUCAACCAAGCCCCAGGCUGUUCAGGAAGAGAUAGAAGCUGGCCCCAGGAUGCUGACACCAGGGAAGGGAAGCCCAGAUUGUGAAGCAAAGGCUCCGGGCCAAAGCUUUCCUUCAGACUACAACACUCUGACUUGGGAAUCUGAAUUCAGGCCAAAGAAAAUAAUUCUGACUAGUAGCUAGUAGCCAGGGCAACUGUGCCCACGAUGACGCUGACGUGUUCUCAAAGCAGAUCGGCCAGGUGGGAACCUGGGAGGGUCCCAGCCACAAAGCUGGGAAAAAAGUGUUCUGUACAGUUAAAGUUCUUCACCCCCUUGCAACAUGUGCAGGCAGUAAAGAUGGCCAGAGGUUAUGAAGGGCGUGCCACACGCCAGGCACCAGGGUAACCUCUUUACCAACAUCAUCUCAUUGAAUUCUUAAAAUACCCUCUGAAGCAGGUACAGUAUUAGCUCCACUGAACAGAUGAAGAGACUGAGGCUUGGCCUGCGAUAGAAGUCAGGUAGGUGGUAUUUCAAAGCCCAUCCUCUCACCCACUUUGCUGUUAUCCUGCUUUCAAAGGCAGGGCGACGCUUCCUUACUUACUACUUGAGUGUGUGUUUCCCAAGUUCAAGGACAUGCUCCAGCAUAACCACAGUACAACCAUGACAAUUAGGAAAUUGACACUGAUUCAAUAACACCGUCUAAUCCACAGACCCCAUUCAGAUUUCACUGACUGUGCCAAUUAUCUUGCUUAUAGGUCCAGCACCCAAACCAGGAUCACAGCUGCAUUCACUUGCCAUAUCCCUUUGGUCUCUUUCAAUCUAGGACAGUUCCUCAGGCUUUCCUUAUCUUUCACGACCUUGAUGUUUUGGAAGAGCACAGGCCAGUCACAUUAUGGCAUGCUCCUCAAAUGGGGUUUGUCUGAUGCUUCCUCAUCAUUUAUGUAUUUGGGGCAGGAAUACUGCAAAGAUGGUGCUGUGCUCUUUUCAGGGCAUCAUAUUAGGAAGCUCAUGACAUAAGUGUGUGUCAUUGCUGGUAAACACAGAGGGAGUUUUAAGCAAGGACUUGGAGUCCUAUACGGAGAAGAAAGACUGCAAGAGCCUGGAAUUCUGCCCCAUGUAACAAACGCUUUAAUACGCUUUGACCAGCGGGCCAGCCAGGCAGAAGCCAGCCCUGUUCUAUAAAGGGGAACAACAGAAUCGCUGGGAAGCUGUUAGGACAGAACAGGCUGUGUGGGCUGGGACUCCGGAGGGGAGAACCUGAGUGGUUGGAAGGAAUUCUCCAACAAGCAAUUUGGAGGGGAGUGUAGGGCCCCACAGGGGUAUCCUCACACAGCUGGAAGAGCAAAGAGCUGGAUACUGGUAAGAAGAAGAGUGAAGCUGAUAUGGGAAAGGGAAGGAAAACCGGAAGGAAGAAAAAAUGGGUGGGAGGAGAAUAACAGGAAAAAGCAGCAGCAUCCAAAGGGCUCAAAAUAUUCGCUUCAUACACCUUCAUGGGAGUUUAAAAACUGUAGUGUUUAGUUGGCUGUGCUUCUUAUUCACUGCACUUGGAGUCAGACCACCUGUGUUAAUCCCAGAUUGCUGGGUCAGUUACUCAGUCUUGCUGAUUCUCAGUUUUCUCAUCUGUAAGAUGAGGAGAAAAAUACCUCCCAGCAUUGCCCGGAGACCACACCCCACCACAUACCCCGCAAUAUUGACAGUGCGUCUGCUGUGUGGCACCCCUGCUCCCUGGGUGAGGAAUGCUGCUGAGAGCAAAACAGAAAGGAAUGCCUGCCUCCAUGGACCUGACUUUCUAGGGGGGCAGCCUUCCAGAGUGUUCUCUAAACUGUGGAGCACGGUGCAUAGUCGAGGAAUUACUGCUCUCCAAGGUAAUGGUGAGUGUGACCUGCGUACUACAGAUGGGAACUAAGUCUCAGAGGCCAUGGGAGCAAUGGUAGCACUAAGCAGAAAAGGGGGGUCACCACCCUCUGUUCAGACUCUUAUGGAUGGAAGAAAUGUGCCCAUCUGAAAACCCGACAUAGCUGGUAAGAGCAGAAAAGCUCUGGAAGGACAGUCACUAAACUUCCCGGGGAGGAGGAUAAUGACAAGUUUUACCCAGCCACAGCCGCUGAGCAAACUGGGCGUCUGUGUGACUUCGGGAGUCUGGAGACAGCGAUCCCGCUGGGGGAAAAGUUGCCCCCUGCGUUCGGCCGUUGGCUCCCUCUUGCCUUUCUGAACUUCUCUGCUCUUUCUUAAAUCCGUGUCCUCCUCACAUCUCCCCAAAGCCACACAAGCGCCAGCACACACACCGUCAAACAUUUCAGUCGUCAUGAUUUCCAGUUGGACUUCAUCCCUAAGCACCUACCUCCCUUUCCAUUUUCUCACCUUCCUCUUGACUUUACAGAGGGCUGAUUUACAUGCCAAAAAAAAAAAAAAGUUUUUAACAGAAGCAUACAAAGCAACUCACUAAAAACCAUUUCUUUU